rnacentral:rRNA from 1 species
UACGGGGGGGGCAAGCGUUGUUCGGAAUUACUGGGCGUAAAGGGCUCGUAGGCGGCCAACUAAGUCAGACGUGAAAUCCCUCGGCUUAACCGGGGAACUGCGUCUGAUACUGGAUGACUAGAGUUUGGGAGAGGGAUGCGGAAUUCCAGGUGUAGCGGUGAAAUGCGUAGAUAUCUGGAGGAACACCGGUGGCGAAGGCGGCAUCCUGGACCAACACUGACGCUGAGGAGCGAAAGCCAGGGGAGCAAACGGG